AGCUGUAAACUAUGCAAACUCAGUGAUGCAUUGGCUUGUGGCCAAUGCAGUGCUGCAGGGAAGCCGUUAAGUUUGCCGCCUGGGAAGUACGUACGCAAGUAUGAAACUUAAAGGAAUUGGCGGGGGAGCACCACAAGGGGUGAAGCCUGCGGUUCAAUUGGAGUCAACGCCAGAAAUCUUACCCGGAGAGACAGCAGAAUGAAGGUCAAGCUGAAGACUUUACCAGACAAGCUGAGAGGUGGUGCAUGGCCGUCGCCAGCUCGUGCCGUGAGAUGUCCUGUUAAGUCAGGUAACGAGCGAGAUCCCUGCCUCUAGUUGCCACCAUUACUCUCAGGAGUAGUGGGGCGAAUUAGCGGGACCGCCGCAGUUAAUGCGGAGGAAGGAAGGGGCCACGGCAGGUCAGUAUGCCCCGAAACUCUGGGGCCACACGCGGGCUGCAAUGGUAGUGACAAUUGGUUCCGAAUCCGAAAGGAGGAGGUAAUCCCUAAACGCUACCACAGUUAUGACUGAGGGCUGCAACUCGCCCUCACGAAUAUGGAAUCCCUAGUAACUGCGUGUCAUUAUCGCGCGGUGAAUACGUCCCUGCUCCUUGCACACACCGCCCGUCGUUUCAUUGAAGUUUGCUUUUAGCGAGGUGACGUCUGAUUGGCGUUAUCGAACUUGAGGUAAGUGACAAGGGAAAAGUCGUAACAAGGUAGCC
rnacentral:rRNA from 1 species